UACGUAGGGUGCGAGCGUUGUCCGGAAUUACUGGGCGUAAAGAGCUCGUAGGUGGUUUGUCGCGUUGUUCGUGAAAACUCACAGCUCAACUGUGGGCGUGCGGGCGAUACGGGCAGACUGGAGUACUGCAGGGGAGACUGGAAUUCCUGGUGUAGCGGUGGAAUGCGCAGAUAUCAGGAGGAACACCGGUGGCGAAGGCGGGUCUCUGGGCAGUAACUGACGCUGAGACGCGAAAGCGUGGGGAGCAAACAGG
rnacentral:rRNA from 1 species